rnacentral:rRNA from 1 species
GACGUAGGGGGCCAGCGUUGCUCGGAAUUACUGGGCGUAAAGGGUUCGUAGGCGGUGUGGCAAGUCGGGAGUGAAAUCUCUGGGCUUAACUCAGAGGCUGCUUCCGAAACUGCCGUGCUAGAGUGCGGGAGAGGCGAGUGGAAUUUCCGGUGUAGCGGUGAAAUGCGUAGAUAUCGGAAGGAACACCUGUGGCGAAAGCGGCUCACUGGACCAUUACUGACGCUGAUGCACGAAAGCUAGGGGAGCAAACAGG